ACCACUACAUCCCUUAUGAUCACCGAAGUUAAGCAACGUCGAAUUUGGUCAGUAUCUAGAUGGGUGACCGCUUGGAAUACCAGGUGCUGUAA